CUUAAUUGAGAUGAAGUAGUUUGGGCGACUUUAGUGUCUCUUUAACCCCUUAAGGACACAUGACAUGUAGGACAUGUCGUGAUUCCCUUUUAUUGCAGAAGUUUGGUUCUUAAGGGGUUAAAGGGACACUGUAGUCACUAUAACCAUUUUAUCUCUUUGAAUUGGUUAUAGGGCCUGGAGUACCCUGGCACUGUCCCUCCAUUCAGUGUUUUACCAUGUUCAUGCAGUAUGCCACAAAAUAAGAGUCCCUGGCCACCCAUAGUCCGGCCCCUUCUGUAUGUGUAGCUAAAGC